CACACCUCGCACCGGAGACCAGCUCGGCCACGCCGUAAAACACCCCAAUUUUACCAAGGUUGACCUCGGAUCAGGUAGGAAUACCCGCUGAACUUAAGCAUAUCAAUAAGCGGAGGAAAAGAAACCAACAGGGAUUGCCUCAGUAACGGCGAGUGAAGCGGCAACAGCUCAAAUUUGAAAUCUGGCCGCAAGGUCCGAGUUGUAAUUUGCAGAGGAUGCUUUUGGUGAGGUGCUUUCCGAGUUCCCUGGAACGGGACGCCAUAGAGGGUGAGAGCCCCGUACGGUUACGCACCGAGCCUCUGUAAAGCUCCUUCGACGAGUCGAGUAGUUUGGGAAUGCUGCUCUAAAUGGGAGGUGUACGUCUUCUAAAGCUAAAUACCGGCCAGAGACCGAUAGCGCACAAGUAGAGUGAUCGAAAGAUGAAAAGCACUUUGAAAAGAGGGUUAAAAAGUACGUGAAAUUGUUGAAAGGGAAGCAUUUAUGACCAGACUUGGGCAUGGUUGAACAUCCGGCGUUCUCGCCGGUGCACUCUGCCAGCCCAGGCCAGCAUCAGUUUGCCCCGGGGGAUAAAGGCGGCGGGAAUGUAGCUCUCUCCGGGGAGUGUUAUAGCCCGUCGUGCAAUGCCCUGGGGCGGACUGAGGAACGCGCUCGGCAC
rnacentral:sRNA from 1 species